rnacentral:rRNA from 1 species
UGCGCAGGUGGGCUGGUAAGUUCGAUGUGAAAGCCCCGGGCUUAACCCGGGAAUGGCAUUGGAUACUACUGGUCUGGAGGAUUGGAGGGGGGACUGGAAUUCUUGGUGUAGCAGUGAAAUGCGUAGAUAUCAAGAGGAACACCAGUGGCGAAGGCGAGUCCCUGGACAAUUCCUGACACUGAGGCACGAAAGCCAAGGGAGCAAACA